rnacentral:rRNA from 1 species
UCCAGACUCCUACGGGAGGCAGCAGUGGGGGAUAUUGCACAAUGGGGGAAACCCUGAUGCAGCGACGCCGCGUGUGGGAAGACGGUCUUCUGGAUUGUAAACCACUGUCCCCAGGGACGAAAAUGACGGUACCUGGGGAGGAAGCUCCGGCUAACUACGUGUCAGCAGCCGCGGUAAUACGUAGGGGGCGAGCGUUAUCCGGAUUCACUGGGUGUAAAGGGAGCGUAGACGGCCAUGCAAGCCAGGGGUGAAAGCCCGGGGCCCAACCCCGGGACUGCCCUUGGAACUGCAUGGCUGGAGUGCGGGAGGGGCAGGCGGAAUUCCUGGUGUAGCGGUGAAAUGCGUAGAUAUCAGGAGGAACACCGGCGGCGAAGGCGGCCUGCUGGACCGCGACUGACGUUGAGGCUCGAAAGCGUGGGGAGCGAACAGGAUUAGAUACCCUCGUAU